rnacentral:rRNA from 1 species
AACGAACGCUGGCGGCAUGCCUAACACAUGCAAGUCGAACGAGAUCUUCGGGUCUAGUGGCGCACGGGUGCGUAACGCGUGGGAAUCUGCCCUUUGGUUCGGAAUAACAGUUGGAAACGACUGCUAUACCGGAUGAUGACGAAAGUCCAAAGAUUUAUCGCCAGAGGAUGAGCCCGCGUAGGAUUAGCUAGUUGGUGUGGUAAAGGCGCAUCAAGGCGACGAUCCUUAGCUGGUCUGAGAGGAUGAUCAGCCACACUGGGACUGAGACACGGCCCAGACUCCUACGGGAGGCAGCAGUGGGGAAUAUUGGACAAUGGGCGAAAGCCUGAUCCAGCAAUGCCGCGCUAGUGAUGAAGGCCUUAGGGUUGUAAAGCUCUUUUACCCGGGAUGAUAAUGACAGUACCGGGAGAAUAAGCUCCGGCUAACUCCGUGCCAGCAGCCGCCGCGG